rnacentral:lncRNA from 1 species
UAGACUUCUCGGUCAAUUCCGAUAGAACUUUUGAUGAACGUUCGGAUUUUCGACAAACUCUCGAUCUCCAAACGAAGUCUCGUUUUGGACUCCGGGACUUCAUUUUACUUUAUGCCUUGAUCACUAUCAUAGUUAAUCAUACACAAAUAAAACCUACUUCGAUCUAGACAAUUAUUACAAAACUUGAAUCAUGUUGUCUGACAUGUCAUUGGUUCAUCGAUGCUUCGUCCGAUUCUUCGAUGCAUCGUCAUCUCUUAUGGCUUAUUGCCCAAUCGGCCAGUUGACCUAUGCAACUCCGAUUUCCUUAGUGUAAUUUCUACUCUUCUUGGCUCGAUACCUUCUGUGGAUAUGUCGAUCGAUCCUUCGGCUCGACGUCCAAUUUUCUGACAUGUUUCUCUCCGGCCCAACAUGAUUAUUCCUUCUUUAAUUGUCUCUCCCUGAUUGAAGCUAGUCCUGUAUCACUUAAACACACAUUAAAUCAUAAACACUAUCAAUUUAUUUCAUUAUCAAAAUAUAAGAUUCAACAAUCUCCCCCUUUUUGAUGAUGACAAUCAAUUGAUGAUGGAGUUAACUAACUCCUGAAGUUUAAACAAACUCCUCUUACCAAUAUGGCAUAUGUGAGAUGAACCUUGAAUUCAAAAUGAAUUCAAGUCAAAGAAAUAUUUCAUCAUGAAUAUUUGCAACAUGUGAUCAUAAAAUCAUGCAUAAUCAAAUUAUCUAAUACAUCAUUCCAUGCAUG